AGAGACUUUUUAAAGAAAUCGUAAAAAAUAACAUAGAAAUUCAAAAAAUAUAUAUUAAAAUAGAAAUCUUAAUUAAAUUCCAAUCAAAAUUUAGUCAAAUCUUAAUCAAACCGUAGUCAAAACUUUGUCAAAUCCUUGUCAAAUCCUAAUCAACUUCUAAAUAAGUCCUAAUCAAACUCUAAUCAAAUCCUUAUCAAACUCUAAAUAAAUCCUAGUCAAAUCCUAAAUAAAUCCUACUCGAAUCCUAGACAAAUCUUAAAUAAGCUCUAAUCAAACUCUAAUCAAAUCCUAUUCAAAUCCUAAUCAAAUCUUGAAUAAAUCCUAAUAAAAUCCUAAUCAAAUCUUAGACAAAUCCUAAAUAAGUCUUAACCAAAUCUUGGACAAAUCUUAGUCAAAUUCUAGUCAAAUCCUAAUCAAACUUUAAAUAAAUCCUAUUAAAAUUCUAGAAAAAUCCUAAAUAUAGCCCUAACCAAAUCUUAUACAAAUCCUAGUCAAAUUCUAAUCAAAUUUUAUCAAAACUUAAACAAAUCCUAUUAAAAACCUAGUUAAAUCUUAUAUAAGCCCUAACCAAACCCUAGACAAAUCCUAUUCAAACUCUAAUCAAAUCCUAAUCAAAUCCUAAUUAAAUCCUAAUAAAAUCCUAGUCAAAUUCUAAACAAAUUCUAAAUAAGUCCUAAUCAAACCUUGGACAAAUUCUAAUCAAACUCUAGUCAAAUCCUAA
rnacentral:lncRNA from 1 species